AGUGAACGCUGGCGGUAGGCCUAACACAUGCAAGUCGAACGGCAGCACAGUAAGAGCUUGCUCUUACGGGUGGCGAGUGGCGGACGGGUGAGGAAUACAUCGGAAUCUACUUUUUCGUGGGGGAUAACGUAGGGAAACUUACGCUAAUACCGCAUACGACCUACGGGUGAAAGCAGGGGAUCUUCGGACCUUGCGCGAUUGAAUGAGCCGAUGUCGGAUUAGCUAGUUGGCGGGGUAAAGGCCCACCAAGGCGACGAUCCGUAGCUGGUCUGAGAGGAUGAUCGGCCACACUGGAACUGAGACACGGUCCAGACUCCUACGGGAGGCAGCAGUGGGGAAUAUUGGACAAUGGGCGCAAGCCUGAACCAGCCAUACCGCGUGGGUGAAGAAGGCCUUCGGGUUGUAAAGCCCUUUUGUUGGGAAAGAAAAGCAGCAGGUUAAUACCCCGCUGUUCUGACGGUACCCAAAGAAUAAGCACCGGCUAACUUCGUG
rnacentral:rRNA from 1 species